rnacentral:rRNA from 1 species
GACAGAGGUGCCGAGCGUUAGGCGGAAUCGCUGGGCUUAAAGCGUGUGUAGGCGGGCCGUUAAGUGUCUUGUGAAAUCCCCCGGCUCAACCGGGGAAUUGCUGGGCAUACUGGCGGUCUUGAGCAAUCUAGGGGCAGAUGGAACAAGUGGUGGAGCGGUGAAAUGCGUAGAUAUCACUUGGAACGCCAAAGGUGAAGACAGUCUGCUGGGGAUUUGCUGACGCUGAGACACGAAAGCCAGGGGAGCGAACGGG